UACGUAGGGGGCAAGCGUUGUCCGGAAUUAUUGGGCGUAAAGAGCUCGUAGGCGGUUUGUCGCGUCGGCUGUGAAAACUCGGGGCUCAACCCCGAGCCUGCAGUCGAUACGGGCAGACUAGAGUGCUGUAGGGGAGACUGGAAUUCCUGGUGUAGCGGUGAAAUGCGCAGAUAUCAGGAGGAACACCGGUGGCGAAGGCGGGUCUCUGGGCAGUAACUGACGCUGAGGAGCGAAAGCGUGGGGAGCGAACAGG
rnacentral:rRNA from 1 species